rnacentral:rRNA from 1 species
UACAGAGGUGGCAAGCGUUGUUCGGAAUUACUGGGCGUAAAGGGCGCGUAGGCGGUCUUGUAAGUCCUGUGUGAAAUCCCUCGGCUUAACUGAGGAACUGCACGGGAUACUGCGAGACUUGAGAUCGGGAGAGGGAAGCGGAAUUCCGGGUGUAGCGGUGGAAUGCGUAGAGAUCCGGAGAAAGACCGGUGGCGAAGGCGGCCUGCUGGGCAGUUACUGACACUGAGGCGCGACAGCGUGGGGAGCAAACAGG